AGUUGGCUGGACUAGAUGAGGACAAGA
rnacentral:piRNA from 1 species